AUCCACAUGUAGUUGAUGGCUGAGAAAUGGGUUUUCAUAGCACGAUGUGAGGUCUGCCUCCUUCAAGCCUUGUUAUAGAAUCAACUUAUUACCAAUCUGACA